AAUGUGGUCCAACCAGUGGCUGAUAAAAUGUCAUUGUAUAUAUGCUUUUGUCGAUUUCUGCUACGAUAAUGAGGGAAUCCAGAGGAUCGAGGCCAUUCGAUCUGAGGUACCAAUCUUCUUAAUGAAGAUUAGAGCAAUCAAAUGGAGCUUCACAGGAUAAGUUUGUGAGGGUUAUACAGAACUCAGUUGGUGCAAACCUUGCUGCAGAUGUAUGGAGUCUUGGGUGCAUUGUCUUGGACAUAGCUACGACAAAAACCACCUUGGAGCCAGUAUAAAGGGG